rnacentral:misc_RNA from 1 species
AAGCGCACAAGCGUGUGUGUGUAUAUAUAUACACACACACAACAUCCGCAAUAUCGUUGACCGCGCAGGCCCCACGCCUACGUCCCCUUGCAAGAAAUCAGCACAUCUCAUUUAGCUCCUCCUCAUUGGCAUCGCUUUCCCUCUUUUCGCAUCGAAUAUACGCAGCCAUAUAUAUAUAUAUGGUAUUCCACUCCAUCUUUGGAUAGGCCUGUCCACCACUGCCUCUCCCCCCCCCAACUUUCACUCUAUACGCCUUCCUGCCGGCAUCUCUCUCUCAGCUUCGCGAGUAUCAGGUGUGUCUCUUUACCUUCUGUUUUUCGUUCCCGGUUGUCAAGUAAUAUCAGCAAUGCAGGCGAAUCGAGUCACAUCGCUCUUUGGGGUGCAGUACCCCAUCGUGCAGGGCGGCAUGGUGUGGUGCAGUGGAUGGCGUCUGGCGUCUGCCGUGAGCAAUGCAGGCGGUCUCGGCCUCGUGGGCGCCGGCUCCAUGAGCUUCGACGUUUUUCAGCACCACGUUCGUCGCUGCAAGGAGGCCGCGAAGAAGCCCUUCGGCGUCAAUGUCCCUCUCAGCCGCGAUAUGGCGCAGUACAUGGACUUCAUCAUCGAGGAGAAAGUGCCGAUCGUGUUCACGAGUGCCGGCAGCCCUAAGCUCUGGACCCAGAAGCUACAGAGCCAUGGCAUUAAGGUGGUGCACGUCGUACCCAGCUGCAAGCUCGCCCUCAAGUGCGAAGCGGCAGGGGUCAACGCCGUCGUAGCUGAGGGGUUCGAGGCCGGUGGUCACAACGGGUUAGAGGAGAUCACCACGAUGGCGCUGGUCCCGCAGGUGCGUAAGGCUCUGGCGCCUGAGGUUCCCCUGCUCGCAGCGGGCGGCAUUGCGAGUGGAGAAGCAAUGCUGGCAGCUAUGGCCCUUGGUGCGGAGGGAGUCCAGGUAGGCACGCGCUUCGCGGUCACACAAGAAAGCUCGGCGGCAGAGGAGUUCAAGAAGAGGUGCACGGCGGCAGGUGAGGGCGACACGUACCUCACACUGAAGCAGUACAUGCCAACUCGUGUCAUGCUGAACGACUACGGCAAAGAGGCCCGCCGCCUCUCUGAAUCUGGCGCCACCAAGGCGCAGCUGAAGGAGUUCCGUGGAAAGGGUCGCACGAAAAAGGGCAUGUUCGACGGUGAUGUGACGAACGGCGAGCUCGAGAUUGGUCAAAUCGUGUCCGCAUGCAAGGACGUUCCGACCGCUGCGGAGGUGGUAGAGCGCAUGGUAAAGGAGUUCCGCACGCGCAACGCGCAGCUCGCCAAGAUGAAUCUGUAGAGCACACGAACGAAGCAGUGCGUCCUCUUCACAAAGUCGCGCGUUGCGAGUCGCACAUACACAGGACGGAAGAAAAGAGAGCCGUGACAGAGAGGCGCACACAGCAAUAUACCAUUGCACACGUGUGCACUACCGCCGCCCUCCUCCCGACCCUCUCUCAUCUUCCCUUUUUCUUUUUUUUUGUGGACAGUUACAUCCCGCGCGCCUUCUUUUCUGUCCUCAUUUCUCUGCAGGUUCCCAUCCCACACGCGCCGCACUUCCUUUCGUCAACAUCACCGCCACCUCAGCAGCUC